GUUGACCGCCGUGCAGGCGGCUUAGAAA
rfam:Desulfobacteraceae bacterium A6 Ga0073114_1023, whole genome shotgun sequence.